rnacentral:rRNA from 1 species
AUACGUAGGUGACAAGCGUUAUCCGGAUUUACUGGGCGUAAAGGGCGUGUAGGCGGUCUUGCAAGUCAGAAGUGAAAUUCCUGAGCUCAACUCGGGCGCUGCUUCUGAAACUGCAGGACUUGAGUGCUGGAGGGGAUAGCGGAAUUCCUAGUGGAGCGGUAAAAUGCGCAGAUAUUAGGAAGAACACCGGUGGCGAAGGCGGCUAUCUGGACAGUAACUGACGCUGAGGCGCGAAAGCGUGGGGAGCAAACAGGAUUAGAUACCCUGGUAGUCCACGCCAUAAACGAUGAAUACUAGGUGUAGGGGGUAUCGACCCCCUCUGUGCCGACGUUAACACAUUAAGUAUUCCACCUGGGGAGUACGGCCGCAAGGCUGAAACUCAAAUGAAUUGGCGGGG